rnacentral:rRNA from 1 species
UGCAGGAAAAGAAAAUAAACAAUGAUUCCCCCAGUAGUGGCGAGCGAACGGGGAAGAGCCCAAACCACCCAUGUUACGGCAUGGGUGGGGUUGUAGGACUACGCCGUUGCAUGAAGACAUCAGAGAAGAACUUUCUGGAAAGAAAGACCAUAGAGCAUGACAGUUGCGUAUUCGAAUGUUGUCGAAGCAUAGUAGUAUCCUGAGUAGCGCGGAGCACGAGGAAUUCUGCGUGAAUCUGCCGGGACCAUCCGGUAAGGCUAAAUACUCCCGAGAGACCGAUAGCGAACCAGUACCGUGAGGGAAAGGUGAAAAGCACUUCGAACAGAAGAGUGAAAUAGUUCCUGAAACCGUGCGCCUACAAGCGGUCGGAGCUCGUUAAUGAGUGACGGCGUGCCUUUUGCAUAAUGAACCUACGAGUUGCCUUUGCCGGCAAGGUUAAGUGUGACGACACACGUAUCCGAAGCGAAAGCGAGUCUGAACAGGGCGUAUAGUCGGCAGUGGCAGACGCGAAACCAAGUGAUCUACCCUUGGCCAGGUUGAAGGCUGGGUAACACCAGCUGGAGGACCGCACCAAUAAGCGUUGAAAAGCUUCUGGAUGAGCUGAGGGUAGGGGUGAAAGGCUAAUCAAACUUGGAGAUAGCUCGUACUCCCCGAAAUGCAUUUAGGUGCAGCCUUGCGGGUUACUGAUGUGAGGUAGAGCGACUGAUAAGAUGCGAGGGCUUCACCGCCUAUCAAGUCUUGACAAACUCCGAAUGCGCAUCAGUUCUACCGCAGGAGUGAGGGCAUGGGUGCUAAGGUCCGUGCCCGAGAGGAGAAGAAUCCGGACCACCUGCUAAGGUCCCGAAAUGACAGCUAAGUUAAACUAACGAAGUCUGAUUGCUAAGACAGCUAGGAUGUUGGCUUGGAAGCAGCCAUUCAUUUAAAGAGUGCGUAACAGCUCACUAGUCGAGGAGUCGGGCGUGGAUAAUAAUCGGGUAUCAAGUUGUCUACCGAAGCAGUGGGAUCAUUAAUAUGAUCGGUAGGGGAGCAUUCCAGUCAGCGUCGAAGGCGUACCGUGAGGUAUUCUGGAGCGUCUGGAAAAGCAAAUGUAGGUAUAAGUAACGAUAAAGGGGGCGGGAAACCCCCUCGCCGAAAGACUAAGGUUUCCUGAUCAACGCUAAUCGGAUCAGGGUCAGUCGGGUCCUAAGGCUCAGCCGAACGGCGAUGCCGAUGGCAGAAACGGUUAAUAUUCCGUUACUACCUUCAGGAGUGACGUGGAGACGCAGUAGUGACAGUGCCGCCAUCUGACGGAAUAGAUGGUUGAAGGGUGUAGGAGUCGAUCAUGGCAGGCAAAUCCACCAUGAGAUCCGAACCUGACAGUAUGCCGCGUCCUUCGGGACAAGGCAAUAGUGCGCGUAAGCAUGCUGCCGAGAAAAUCCGCUAAACUUAAUCCUGCAGGUACCCGUACCGCAAACGGACACACGUAGUCGGGAUGAAUAUUCUAAGGCGCUUGAGUGAUUCACGGUUAAGGAACUAGGCAAACUGACCCUGUAACUUCGGGAUAAAGGGUCCCUACCCUUUUAUGGGAGGGCGCAGAGAAUCGGUCCAGGCAACUGUUUAACAAAAACACAGGGCUGUGCCAAAUCGAAAGAUCCAGUAUACAGCCUGACACCUGCCCGGUGCUGGAAGGUUAAGAGGAGAUGUCAUCGAUAAGAGAAGCGUUGAAUUGAAGCCCCAGUAAACGGCGGCCGUAACUAUAACGGUCCUAAGGUAGCGAAAUUCCUUGUCGGGUAAGUUC